rnacentral:tRNA from 1 species
UGCGGCGUAGCGCAAUGGUAGCGCGGCGGUCUCAUAAGCCGGAGGUGGCAGGUCCGACUCCUGCCGCCGCAA